rnacentral:rRNA from 1 species
GACGAACGCUGGCGGCGUGCCUAAUACAUGCAAGUCGAACGAGAGCGACCGGUGCUUGCACUGGUCAAUCUAGUGGCGAACGGGUGAGUAACACGUGGGUAGCCUGCCCAUCAGAGGGGGAUAACAUUCGGAAACGGAUGCUAAAACCGCAUAGGUCUUCGAACCGCAUGGUUUGAAGAGGAAAAGAGGCGCAAGCUUCUGCUGAUGGAUGGGCCCGCGGUGCAUUAGCUAGUUGGUGAGGUAACGGCUCACCAAGGCCGUGAUGCAUAGCCGACCUGAGAGGGUGAUCGGCCACAUUGGGACUGAGACACGGCCCAAACUCCUACGGGAGGCAGCAGUAGGGAAUCUUCCGCAAAGGACGCAAGUCUGACGGAGCAACGCCGCGUGAGUGAAGAAGGUUUUCGGAUCGUAAAACUCUGUUGUUAGAGAAGAACAAGUGCUAGAGUAACUGUUAGCGCCUUGACGGUAUCUAACCAGAAAGCCACGGCUAACUACGUG